rnacentral:lncRNA from 1 species
AGAACUUAGUCAGGACUGGCCGGGAAUUAAGUACGAUCUGCGGGCAAAAAACUGUAACCAUUUCUGUAAUGAGUUGUUGCAGAGGCUGGGAGUGCCCAAGCUUCCGCCAUGGGUAAAUAGGUUUGCCGAUGUCGGAGAUAUUGCCUGUGAAACAUCACAAACUCUUCAAAAAACUAAGGAUGAAAUGUUAACGGCUGGAAAAGAGGCAUGUAAGAAUGCCAUUGAUAAUGCUAUUAAGACUCCCAAGUCUCUUAUCAGUUUAAGCAAAGGUACUCGCCUUCGAACAGAGCAAUUUAAACCAAAGUUCUUUGCUGGACGAAUUGCUAAAUCAGAUGAAGAAACCGGUGAGAAGUAAACCCUUGGGGACUGGAACUUAACCCAGCCAUGACCAUGUAAAAUGAU